GAGCUACCGCUAUUGGAGUUCGAUUAAGCCAUGCGAGUCUAGAGGCCUAGCCUCGGCGUACCGCUCAGUAACACGUGGGUAACCUACCCUAUGCUGGGGGAUAAGCUCGGGAAACUGAGAAUAAUACCCCAUAGUCCACUACGCCUGGAACGGUGAGUGGAUCAAAGCUCCGGCGGCAUAGGAUGGGCCUGCGGCGUAUCAGGUUGUAGGGGGUGUAACGUACCCUCUAGCCAUCCACGCGUACGGGUGUUGGGAGACAUUGCCCGGAGAUGGAUUCUGAGACACGAAUCCAGACCCUACGGGGUGCAGCAGGCGCGAAAACUUGGCAAUGCGAGAAAUCGUGACCAGGGAACUCCAAGUGGCAGGGGUAAGACCCUGUCUUUUUCCGACUCUAAAUAGGUCGGCGAAUAAGGGGUGGGUAAGGACGGUGCCAGCCGCCGCGGUAAUACCGGCGCCUCAAGUGGUAGUCGCUUUUAUUGGGCCUAAAACGUCCGUAGCCGGUCUGGUACAUUCGUGGGUAAAUCAACUCGCUUAACGAGUUGAAUUCUGCGAGGACGGCCAGACUUGGGACCGGGAGAGGUGUGGGGUACUCUCAGGGUAGGGGUAAAAUCCUGUCAUCCUGAGAGGACCACCUGUUGCGAAGGCUCCACACUAGAACGGAUCCGACGGUCAGGGACGAAGCCUAGGGGCACGAACCGGAUUAGAUACCCGGGUAGUCCUAGGUGUAAACGCUGUGGACUUGAUGUUGGGGACGCUCCGAGCGUUCUCAGUGUCGAAACGAAGGUGAUAAGUCCACUGCCUGGGGAGUACGGUCGCAAGGCUGAAACUUAAAGGAAUUGGCGGGGGAG
rnacentral:rRNA from 1 species